UCGAAACCUGCCCAGCAGAGCGACCCGUGAACAUCUUCAACCUCGUGGGUGCUGUGGCGUUGCUCGGUGCCUCGUGUGCUGGCUCGCCCCAUCUCCCAGGCAGGGGAGCGUCCACUUGUGGGCUGUUCCCCGGCUAACCAACGAACCCCGGCGCGUAAAUGCGUCAAGGAAUAUAAACUUUAUGUGUGUGCUCUCCUAUCGCCCGGUUAGCCGGGCGUUGGAGUGGUGCCAUGUCUUAACAAUA
rnacentral:rRNA from 1 species